AGAGUGUUUCAGAAGAGAGAAAAAGAUGGCGGCCGUGAACUGGCUUUCUAUGGAUGGUAAAGCUGUGCUGAGAACUGGGCUGACUAUUGCAGCUGAAAAUGCGUGCCAAGUGUGCAGAUGCAGAGGAAUAACGUUUCCCUGUAGGUGGAGCUUGUGUAAGUGAUUUUUUAGCCGGGAGAGAUUGGAGGUGCUGUUUGGUGAUGGAAGACGUAGAGAGGAAAAGCAAGUAAAAGGCAUGCUGUGCAUAUCCACCACAUGCCAUGGGCACCGUUGUCGUUCUGCACAAAGGAGGAGCAGCUCAGCAAGCUUGGCCUGGGCCAUGGGAGGGAGCAUAAAAACAUCUGGACCAAGCGGAAACGAGUUAGUUCUUGAGCUGUCGCAACGCUUUGUUCCCUUGCUGCUGGGCUGGGGCGUUUGAAGAAUGAUGCAGGU